CAGCAGUCGCCGCGGUAAUACGGAGGGUGCAAGCGUUAAUCGGAAUUACUGGGCGUAAAGCGCACGCAGGCGGUUUGUUAAGUCAGAUGUGAAAUCCCCGAGCUUAACUUGGGAACUGCAUUUGAAACUGGCAAGCUAGAGUCUUGUAGAGGGGGGUAGAAUUCCAGGUGUAGCGGUGAAAUGCGUAGAGAUCUGGAGGAAUACCGGUGGCGAAGGCGGCCCCCUGGACAAAGACUGACGCUCAGGUGCGAAAGCGUGGGGAGCAAACAGGAUUAGAUACCCGCGUAGUCCCUGUCUCUUAUAC
rnacentral:rRNA from 1 species